rnacentral:rRNA from 1 species
AGUGAACGCUGGCGGUAGGCCUAACACAUGCAAGUCGAACGGCAGCACAGGAGAGCUUGCUCUCUGGGUGGCGAGUGGCGGACGGGUGAGGAAUACAUCGGAAUCUACUCUGGCGUGGGGGAUAACGUAGGGAAACUUACGCUAAUACCGCAUACGACCUACGGGUGAAAGCAGGGGACCUUCGGGCCUUGCGCGAUUGAAUGAGCCGAUGUCGGAUUAGCUAGUUGGCGGGGUAAAGGCCCACAAAGGCGACGAUCCGUAGCUGGUCUGAGAGGAUGAUCAGCCACACUGGAACUGAGACACGGUCCAGACUCCUACGGGAGGCAGCAGUGGGGAAUAUUGGACAAUGGGCGCAAGCCUGAUCCAGCCAUGCCGCGUGGGUGAAGAAGGCCUUCGGGUUGUAAAGCCCUUUUGUUGGGAAAGAAAUCCAGCUGGCUAAUACCCGGUUGGGAUGACGGUACCCAAAGAAUAAGCACCGGCUAACUUCGUGCCAGCAGCCGCCGUAA